CCUCAGCAAGACUGAAACUAAGCACGAACAAGGUUCAGUAAUGUGUCCUGUGAAUAUGCAGGCUGGUGAUACUUCCUUUACAUACACACACGAGUCCUACAUCCUUUGGAGAAGUUCCACAGGACUGGGAGUUUUCUUCACUAUUUAGGACAAGCUGAAUGAUGAGCUGCUAAACCUGGACGAGCUGUGAACAUGCUCAGAGCAGCCUGCGUGGCCCAGCAGGAAUUAGGCUAAGUUAAACAAAGAGAGGCCUCUGCRCUCUGAUAGUCCCGAAGCCACAGUUUUUUCCAUCACAGUUUUAAAGUUUUCCUCAACUGCGGUUGAAUUCUGAGUUUUUGUGAAGGUGAGGGAGUGCCUCCAGAGACAGCACGCUGCUGAGAAGAAUUAGAAGACCAAAGACGGACAUGUAGGACUUUAUUUAAUAUAGAGAAGGAGCAGCUGUGUGCCAAACACUUUUUGGUCUUUCACUGUUGUCCACAUGUGUGCAUGUAUGCCUGGAGUUACAUUAGUUUCCUUAAGAA